rnacentral:rRNA from 1 species
UACGAAGGGUGCAAGCGUUACUCGGAAUUACUGGGCGUAAAGCGUGCGUAGGUGGUUUGUUAAGUCUGAUGUGAAAGCCCUGGGCUCAACCUGGGAAUUGCAUUGGAUACUGGCAGGCUAGAGUGCGGUAGAGGGUAGUGGAAUUCCCGGUGUAGCAGUGAAAUGCGUAGAGAUCGGGAGGAACAUCUGUGGCGAAGGCGACUACCUGGACCAGCACUGACACUGAGGCACGAA